GACGAAGGAUGCAAGCGUUAUCCGGAUUCAUUGGGUUUAAAGGGAGCGUAGGCGGUUUUGUAAGUCAGUGGCGAAAUCUCUGGGCUCAACCCAGAAACUGCCAUUGAUACUGCAGAUCUAGAGUACAGUUGCCGUUGGCGGAAUAUGACAUGUAGUGGUGAAAUACUUAGAUAUGACAUAGAACACCGAUUGCGAAGGCAGCUAACGAAACUGUAACUGACGCUGAGGCUCGAAAGUGCGGGGAUCAAACAGG
rnacentral:rRNA from 1 species